UACGUAGGGGGCAAGCGUUGUCCGGAAUUAUUGGGCGUAAAGAGCGCGUAGGCGGUCCGAUAAGUCGGCUGUGAAAGUCAGGGGCUCAACCCUUGAAAGCCGGCCGAUACUGUCGGACUAGAGUCCGGAAGAGGCAAGUGGAAUUCCCGGUGUAGCGGUGAAAUGCGCAGAUAUCGGGAGGAACACCGAUGGCGAAGGCAGCCCCCUGGGCUAACACUGACGCUCAUGCACGAAAGCGUGGGGAGCAAACAGG
rnacentral:rRNA from 1 species